CGGUGGAACAUGUGGUUUAAUUCGACGCAACGCGCAGAACCUUACCAGGGCUUGACAUGGGCACGUCGCACUCGGAGACGGGUCCCGCGUGUACAGGUGUGACGAGCGCAACCCUCGCCUUUAGUUGCCAGCGGGAUGUCAAGUCUCAUGGCCCUUAUGUCCUGGCUACAUACAUGGCGGUGACAUGGGAAGCCAGGCAGCGAUGCCGUGCUUCUCUAAAAGCCGUCUCAGUUCAGAUUGCACUGCAACUCGAGUGCAUGAAGGUGGAAUCGCUAGUAAUCGGGAUCAGCAUGCCGCGGUGAAUACGUUCCCGGGCCUUGUACACACCGCCGUCACACCAUGGGAUUUGGUUUGACCUUAAGCCGGUGCGCCAACCUCGUGAGAGGGGGCAACCGACCACGUCGGGUCAGAAACUGGGGUGAAGUCUUACAAGGU
rnacentral:rRNA from 1 species